GAUGAACGCUGGCGGCGUGCCUAAUACAUGCAAGUCGAGCGAACAGACGAGGAGCUUGCUCCUCUGAUGUUAGCGGCGGACGGGUGAGUAACACGUGGAUAACCUACCUAUAAGACUGGGAUAACUUCGGGAAACCGGAGCUAAUACCGGAUAACAUGUUGAACCGCAUGGUUCAACAGUGAAAGACGGUCUUGCUGUCACUUAUAGAUGGAUCCGCGCCGCAUUAGCUAGUUGGUAAGGUAACGGCUUACCAAGGCAACGAUGCGUAGCCGACCUGAGAGGGUGAUCGGCCACACUGGAACUGAGAAACGGUCCAGACUCCUAAGGGAGGCAGCAGUAGGGAAUCUUCCGCAAUGGGCGAAAGCCUGACGGAGCAACGCCGCGUGAGUGAAGAAGGUCUUCGGAUCGUAAAACUCUGUUAUUAGGGAAGAACAAAUGUGUAAGUAACUAUGCACGUCUUGACGGUACCUAAUCAGAAAGCCACGGCUAACUACGUG
rnacentral:rRNA from 1 species